rnacentral:rRNA from 1 species
CGAACGCUGGCGGCGUGCUUAACACAUGCAAGUCGAACGGAAAGGCCCUGCUUUUGUGGGGUGCUCGAGUGGCGAACGGGUGAGUAACACGUGAGUAACCUGCCCUUGACUUUGGGAUAACUUCAGGAAACUGGGGCUAAUACCGGAUAGGAGCUCCUGCUGCAUGGUGGGGGUUGGAAAGUUUCGGCGGUUGGGGAUGGACUCGCGGCUUAUCAGCUUGUUGGUGGGGUAGUGGCUUACCAAGGCUUUGACGGGUAGCCGGCCUGAGAGGGUGACCGGCCACAUUGGGACUGAGAUACGGCCCAGACUCCUACGAGAGGCAGCAGUGGGGAAUAUUGCACAAUGGGCGGAAGCCUGAUGCAGCAACGCCGCGUGCGGGAUGACGGCCUUCGGGUUGUAAACCGCUUUCGCCUGUGACGAAGCGUGAGUGACGGUAAUGGGUAAAGAAGCACCGGCUAACUACGUG